rnacentral:rRNA from 1 species
AACGUAGGACGCAAGCGUUAUCCGGAGUUACUGGGCGUAAAGCGCGGGCAGGCGGUUCCUUAAGUCUGAUGUGAAAUCUCCCGGCUCAACCGGGAGCAGCCAUUGGAAACUAGGGAACUGGAGGGCGAGAGAGGUAGGCGGAAUUCCGGGUGGAGUGGUGAAAUGCGUAGAGAUCCGGAGGAACACCAGAGGCGAAGGCGGCCUACUGGCUCGCACCUGACGCUGAGCCGCGAAAGCCAGGGGAGCGAACGGG